AUUGAACGCUGGCGGCAUGCUUUACACAUGCAAGUCGAACGGUAACAGGUUAAGCUGACGAGUGGCGAACGGGUGAGUAAUGCAUCGGAACGUGCCCGGUCGUGGGGGAUAACGCAGCGAAAGCUGCGCUAAUACCGCAUACGAUCUGAGGAUGAAAGCGGGGGACCGUAAGGCCUCGCGCGAUCGGAGCGGCCGAUGUCAGAUUAGGUAGUUGGUGGGGUAAGGGCUCACCAAGCCAACGAUCUGUAGCUGGUCUGAGAGGACGACCAGCCACACUGGGACUGAGACACGGCCCAGACCCCUACGGGAGGCGGCAGUGGGGAAUUUUGGACAAUGGGCGAAAGCCUGAUCCAGCAAUGCCGCGUGCAGGAAGAAGGCCUUCGGGUUGUAAACUGCUUUUGUACGGAGCGAAAAGGUCUCCUCUAAUACAGGGGGCUCAUGACGGUACCGUAAGAAUAAGCACCGGCUAACUACGUGCCAGCCGCCGCAGUAA
rnacentral:rRNA from 1 species